CAGGAGGAGGGAAAAACAGGGCCACAGGCUGGGCAUGACACAUCUUGUUACCCAUGCAAUGUUGGGGUCAGAGAGUGUAGAGAGUGGUGUGGGGAGAGUGCAGGCUGAAGAGUUACCUAAGGUCAAAAUCCUGACCUAUGAGCCAAGCCAUCGAUUUGGGAUUUCUACUGAGGACACUGGAAGUCACUAAGAGCAUCUGAAUGUUUUUAUUUUACACGGCUCACUGUGGCUUUGACCUCCCAUGCUGAAGCGAUCCUCCUAUCUCAACCUCUCAAGUAGCUGGAAGCACAGGCAUGCACCACCACACCUGGCUAAUUUUUUUCUUCCUUUUUUAAAGAGACAGUCUUGCCAUGUUGCCCAGGCCCUGUUGACCAGGAAAAAAAAAAGUUUUUUUUCUUUUUUAAAGAAAGAAAAUAAAAGAGACUGAGAAACCACAGAAAUAAAGAAGCGCUGAUGACAAUGCCUGCUUGCUGAUGGUUACGAUGAUCAUAGCAGUGUGCAUUUUGUAUGCAUGAAGCCUGCGACUAAAUAAACGUGUGGGGAAAUAUUUGUAAGGAAAUAAGCUAUUAAUAAAAUAAGCUAAAAUCACAGUUGCUGGACUAUGACUGAUUUUUCCCCUUUCUCUCAUUUAAAAUUAAAUAUUUGUAUGACUUGUAUAAUAGAAAAAUACAUGUAUUCAAUCUUAAAAAGAUAUUCUUAUUUUACACUUUACGGGACAAAAGAGGUUGUAGGUUGGAAUGGUUCAGUCCCCUUGUGACAACUCAAAAACAGAGACCUUAAGCCUUUCUCAACCAAUGUUGCGGGACAAGCAGGCGUGUGAGGCGACAAUGCCAUUAGGGUAUUUUUUGGAAAAAUUUUAGUGUGAGAGACAAAAGCCAAAUUCAAACUGGCCUGAGCCAAAAUAGGUAGGAAAGGGAGAAGCGGAGACAGGGAGGAAGAAAGAGAGAGAACAGAAAGAAAAAGGGAGAAAUGUCGAAAGGCAAAAUUACAACACAUUUAGUUAAAUGAUUGAAUUGGUUUUUAUUUGUAAUUCAUGAAUUGGGGCAGCAUCUCCUCUAAAACUUUAGGAAAAGUGCUCUGAUGAGCUAAACAGAGAAGCUUGGCUUUAUAGGCAGAAAAGGGUGAAGAAAGCAGACACAGGGAACAAAAAGCAGAUUGGUAAGCUCAGGUUACUUCAGGUUACUUUCCUUAUAAAGGUUAAAGUAGAGGGGACUUCCUUAUCAUGCUGGCUACAACUGGCCUGUUUGGGGAUUUGCAUAUUAUCUCUCUCUGUCUUGAGUUCUGGGAAGGUCUGAUGACUUAGUUUCAGUUUGGUGAUAUGGAACUUAGCAUGAGUGACUCCAUCUUGGUUUGGUCUACUGGGGCCUCCUGCAGGAGCUCAGCCCAAAUCAGUGACCUCCUAUAAAUUUCAUUUAAUAGAAAAGGAAGGAAGGAAGGAAGGAAGGAAGGAAGGAAGGAAGGAAGGAAGGAAGGGAGGGAGGGAGGGAGGGAGGGAGGGAGGAAGGGAGGAAAGAAGGAAGGAAAGAAAGAAAGUUGCUUAUAAGUUGCUUAUAACUAAAAAGACCAGCUGGACCCAGGAGCUCUGAGGUUGCUUUCAGGCCUCUGUCCAUCUCUUAGUUUUCCAUCCUCAGACAGGCUCUGCCCUGCCUUACAGUCUAGCAUUGUUGGCCAAAGGUGACUGACUGGCCCAGCUUGGGCUAUAUGUCCUUCCCUGUGGCCAGAGAGAUGUGUCUCUGUGAUGGCCAGGCUUGGGUCACGUACUCCCUCCCCUACCAGAAUCACAUGAAAAGAGGGAGGAAGAGCCGCUUUCCACCAAAGGAAACUGAAGUGCUAUUGUCAGAGGGGUUGCUGGGCAGACCAAAAAGAUGACAAUAUCUGCUCCAAUCGCUCGGGUUGUUGGUGCUUGGCAGAUUUGCCCCUACGUCACUUUUCAGAUGUGGAUAAGACUGAAGGUGACCACAGGCUUCCGAGAGGAAAGCUGCCAAUGGGGGUGUGAGAGGAGGGGGAAUUCUUACUCACCAAGGUUAACACUGUGCACACUGUUCUCCGAGGAAGUGGGAAUUUCCACAUGGUGAGUUCCCUUCCCUGUACAAUGAAUUACUAUCUUGAUGAGAAACCCGUGGGCAGCUGGUUGAGAAGAGAAAGGUAUUCUCUGAAUGAGAGGGAAUUUACCACCUUCCUUUCAAUGGUGACAGUUUUUUCUGGUGUCACCGCAGGGUGUGGAUUGAUUCAUAUACAAAUAUACAUAUCUACAUAGAUGCCAUUCUGCUAGCCUCUGCAAAAUGCAUGCCUGGAGACCAUUUCUGCUGCCUAGGAGAUGUCAACUUUGUCACCACCACUCUCUCUCCACCACUCCCACACCCUGCAGGGGCCAGGUGUGUGGGUGGGGAGCUCCCCAGCUGGAGGCCAGAUUAGAGGUCUCUGUGUGGUGGGGAUGGGGAGGAUGGGGUGGGAAUGAGGUGGUAGGCCACUGGCAGUGGUCCAAGUUCCAUCCAGGAUCUGUCCUAGGCCUCUCCCCAGGCUGUCGCUUCCACCAUUGAAUUUCUAACCUGGAUCUCUAAGGUUAUGAAUAUCUCAUUCCCGCAUCCUGGGGUGCUCAGACAUGUCUCCCCUGAGUCUCUAGCUGGGCUCGUGGCUGUGAUCAUUGUCCUCAGAGUUCCAUCCUCCCAACAAAGGGACAGAAGAAACACAGGGCCCACUUUUCUGGAUUCUGAGUUGGAGCCAAGAAAUUCUAUCUGCUGCUUCCUUCCUGUUGAAUUAUCCCCCAAGGACCCCUUAGUCCCUCCAGUCUCCUCCAGAGGCCUAUAGCUGCCCCAGCUCCCCAUGAUGGAUACCUGGCUCUUUCCUACCCAGAGGAAAACGCAGGCCCUUCCCCAGCCCUGCACUGAACUCCUGUGAGUGGCUGAGGAGAUGAGGAGGUGUGAAGAGUGAGUGUGUUGGGGAGGGAGGGGUCCCCUGCCACCAGGUACCAAGGACUUCUGCCAGAUCACCAGAACUGACACCUGGUUCCACCGGCCAGCUGUGAAGUGUCGGCCCUGACAUCAACAGCUGACCUCCCACAGGGCCUAAGGAAACGGAAUUGUGG
rnacentral:lncRNA from 1 species